UUCAUUCCUAAAAGAACAUCCUAGAAAACAUUCAUGAAAUAACUAAAUCUAUGGAGCGACCAUUGAACGAAUUGUUCUUCUUGUUUACCAUAGAUAACAGAAAAUGGGUACACCAGAAUAUUCUCCAAGGAUCAUAAUGCGUCUAAAAUAAUUUGCAACAAAAAUGCUUAAAAUCUUAAUGUUUCAACACCAAUUGUAUCAAAUCAUAGUGAUCAUUAUUAAAGUGUAUUGUUUUUUUGUUAAUUUUCGGCUCUGUGUGAAAUUUGUAUAAGAUAUUGGGAGUCAUCGCCCUAUGUAAUAAAAGUUAUAAUUAUGUGGAAUUUCAUUUUUGAGAACCUUAUUUCCAAGUGUAGUCUUAUGUAUUUGGAUGAAAGAUCCUUUUUACUUGGAAUAAUGAGUGUGAGGAUGCAGUUGUGGUGAAAACUAAGGUAGAAGAUGGAUUAGGAAUUUAUAAUUGUUCUUCAGGCUUUGCUUGAAAAAAUUCUUUUGAAUUUGUCUUUAUU
rnacentral:lncRNA from 1 species